rnacentral:rRNA from 1 species
AACGAACGCUGGCGGCAGGCUUAACACAUGCAAGUCGAACGAGAACCCGCACUUCGGUGCGGCAGAAAGUGGCGCACGGGUGAGUAACACGUGGGAACCUACCCUUUGGUUCGGAAUAACCGCGGGAAACUGCGGCUAAUACCGGAUAAGCCCUUCGGGGGAAAGAUUUAUCGCCAAUGGAUGGGCCCGCGCCGGAUUAGCUAGUUGGUAGGGUAACGGCCUACCAAGGCUUCGAUCCGUAGCUGGUCUGAGAGGACGGUCAGCCACACUGGGACUGAGACACGGCCCAGACUCCUACGGGAGGCAGCAGUGGGGAAUAUUGGACAAUGGGCGCAAGCCUGAUCCAGCCAUGCCGCGUGAGUGAAGAAGGCCCUAGGGUUGUAAAGCUCUUUCAUCGGGGAAGAUAAUGACGGUACCCGAAAAAGAAGCCCCGGCUAACUCCGUG